rnacentral:rRNA from 1 species
GACGAACGCUGGCGGCGUGCCUAAUACAUGCAAGUCGAGCGGACCAAAGAGAGCUUGCUCUUUGAGGUUAGCGGCGGACGGGUGAGUAACACGUGGGCAACCUGCCUGUAAGCUUGGGAUAACUCCGGGAAACCGGUGCUAAUACCGAAUACAACAAAGGACCGCAUGGUCCCUUGUACAAAGACCUUGUGUCACUUACAGAUGGGCCCGCGGCGCAUUAGCUUGUUGGUGGGGUAACGGCCUACCAAGGCGACGAUGCGUAGCCGACCUGAGAGGGUGAUCGGCCACACUGGGACUGAGACACGGCCCAGACUCCUACGGGAGGCAGCAGUAGGGAAUCUUCCGCAAUGGACGAAAGUCUGACGGAGCAACGCCGCGUGAGCGAUGAAGGUUUUCGGAUCGUAAAGCUCUGUUGUCAGGGAAGAACCGCCGGGAUGACCUCCCGGUCUGACGGUACCUGACGAGAAAGCCCCGGCUAACUACGUGCCAGCCGCCGCGGUAACAC